UCGGACCAUGACACCCUCGGGAAACUGAGGUUAAUCGUGGAUACCACACUCACACUGGAAUGUCGAGUGUGGCAAACGCUCCGGCGCCAAAGGAUGUGGCUGCGGCCGAUUAGGUAGACGGUGGGGUAACGGCCCACCGUGCCGAUAAUCGGUACGGGUCAUGAGAGUGAGAACCCGGAGACGGAAUCUGAGACAAGAUUCCGGGCCCUACGGGGCGCAGCAGGCGCGAAACCUUUACACUGCACGCCAGUGCGAUAAGGGGAUCCCGAGUGCGCAGGCAUAGAGCCUGCGCUUUUCUGAACCGUAGGGACGUUCAGGAACAAGGGCUGGGCAAGACCGGUGCCAGCCGCCGCGGUAAUACCGGCAGCCCGAGUGAUGGCCGAUCUUAUUGGGCCUAAAGCGUCCGUAGCUGGCCGCACAAGUCCACCGGGAAAUCCACCCGCUCAACGGGUGGCCGUCCGGUGGAAACUGUACGGCUUGGGACCGGAAGGCGCGACGGGUACGUCCGGGGUAGGAGUGAAAUCCCGUAACCCUGGACGGACCGCCGAUGGCGAAAGCACGUCGCGAAGACGGAUCCGACAGUGAGGGACGAAAGCCAGGGUCUCGAACCGGAUUAGAUACCCGGGUAGUCCUGGCCGUAAACGAUGUCUGCUAGGUGUGGCUCCCGCUACGAGCGGGUGCUGUGCCGCAGGGAAGCCGCUAAGCAGACCGCCUGGGAAGUACGUUCGCAAGGAUGAAACUUAAAGGAAUU
rnacentral:rRNA from 1 species